AAUCUCCCCGUCAAAAUCUAGUGAGCAAGAUUCACAAAACAAACAGAAACAUGAACAGAAAACUACCAACUGCGCAAAGAGAAAGAGGAGUGUUUACCCACCAUUCUGAAAGGAAAUUUGCGCUUCCUACCUGGUAAUUCAAAUAGCAUCCUUAAAAGCAAAGCAAACAAAACAAAAAGUAUAAUUCAACGUACUGCGAGAGUAACACUGAGCCAGCCAACAACGUCACAAAGUACUAAUCUGGAUUAGUCUCAGUGUGUGAGUGUCCGGAUUCAGUCUGAAUGAAGGGAGCAGGGCGCCUUCUGCUUGAAGAGGUGUAAAUUCCUGGGAGUUCUUCUGAGCCUGCUUUGUGGGAGUCAGGGACAGGAACUGCUGCUAAAGGAAAACAUAGAUUAUAUGGAAAUCCAACAGCGUGGAGUGCUCAUAAAACAACCAAAAAUGACAGCCAUGGCACCGAAAGAACGGUAUCAACUAUCUUCAUCAUCCCGGGGUGCAUAAAACCUGAAGACUCCCACUACAAUUUCUGCUAUUUAAAAAUCAACGAGCUUCCUUUUUAAUAUCCAGACUCAAUAAUAUUGCAUCAGAAUAACCUCAGUGAUGUCAUGUUUACAUACUUUCCAAAGUGAUUUGAAUAGUAGAAAACGUAGGCUUUGCACCCCACAUAGUGCAAAUGCUUUGAAAAACAUGAAAAAUGUUACCUAAAGGUAACGUUCAAGAACAAUUAUAUCACAUACUAGACCUAAGCUAUCCUGCAAAGAGAGUGAGAGUGAGGAUCUAUCAAUAAAUCCAAACUAAUGCUACUAAUACGUAUACUGUUAAAACAGAAAACAGUUUCCAUUCCUACAUUUGAACCAGCCAUAAAUUCUCUUGUUUCAAUUUCACUGUAACACAAUUUCACUGUAAUACGUAAGGUUUUAGGAAACUUAUUCUUAAUAAAAAUGUAAAAUGUG